UACACCAAAAACAUGUUUUAGCGGCAAAGAGAUAGUGAUGGUCUUAAAUAAUGCCCCUAAUUAAUAACACUAAUAGAGUUAGCAACGUAAUUAGAGAUGGUUUUAUAUUCCGUAGGUAGAUAACAACGGUUCAAACCGUCUCUAUAUAUAUUAAGGGUUAAAAUAGGAAUUUAAAAUUUCUUUCAGCUAUACUGAUUCUCACUUUCACUUUAAUCAUUUUUCUCAUUCUUGCUUUUACUUCAGUCCCUUUCACUUUAAUCGCUUUUCAUUCUAACACAAAUUGAUUUAUUCAUGAUUCAUACAAUGUAAAUGUUUUAAUCGAUUCAGUGAUUAAAUACAGAGAUCGAUUUUUCAACUUGCACAAGGAUUAGAAAUUAGGUUUUUAUCGAUUCAGCGAUUGAUUAGGUUUUUUUCAUUGAUUGAAUACAGAGAUCAAUAAAUAUCAGCGAUUGAUUAGUUUUUUUCAUCGAUUGAAUUUAGAGAUCAAUAAAUAUCAGCGAUCGUUUUUUCAUCGAUUCGAGGUGAAAAACUGAAUUCUGAUUUAAACUGCUAACUUGUGGUUCAUCAUGAUUUAAGACUGCUAACUUGUGCUUCUGAUCAAGAUUACCAUCAGUUGUAAAAGAAGUGAUGCUGCUUCAUUUAGGCUGUUAAACAUUUUAGAUCUUGUUUCAAUGAGUUGGUUGGUGGACAAAAGUUGGAUGGUCCAACCGAGAAAUAGUGAUAUAUAUAGAAGUGGGGUGAAGCUCUUCCUCGAUUUCGCUUUCCAUCAUGCAUCAGAAGAUGGAAGAAUUAUGUGCCCUUGUAGGAGUUGUGUCAAUCACUGUUUGCAAACCUACAAUGAAGUUGAAGUACAUUUAGUCUGUGAUGGUUUCGAUGUAGAGGCAAAAACAGAUUGGUCAGGUUUCGAUGGUUAUUGCAGGACGGAAGGUCUAAAGUAUCCGCUUAUGGUAAAACGAUUGGUCACAGUUGCGAGUCAUGCAGAAUACAAAGAUAGUUGAACCAUUCACAGGUCAUUAUGUAUUUGCUUGGGUGUUGCAAGGUUCUUGAGCUAUGCCCACUGGGUUCUCCAGAUUUGUUCUUGUAUAUGAGCUAUCUGUGGGUUUUGCACAUGGAAUUAGAAAUCUCAAACUAAAAACAGAGAAGAUUUUAGGAGUGGAAAGAAAACGGAAUUUAACAAUGCAAAGACGUAAAGAUGAAUGUACAAAGAUUGUUAGGGUAACAACUGACACUUCAGGCUUUGGAUGAUAUGUUUUAUGAUGAAUUUGGGAUCUCAGUUGAGGUUAAAGAGCUACUAUUAGUUAAGAUACGUAAUACUUGUCAGCUAUUAGUUAAGAUACGUAAUACUUGUCAGCGCACUGUGCACCAUGACUACCCUGUUUCUUUUGAGGAUUUGCUUUGUUGUCAAAGAUAAAUAAGGUGUGAGAUCAACUUGAAGACUCAUACAAGGCCAGGGACCAAAAGCUGAUAGAUUUGAAGUAGAAAUAGAUUACCUUUUUCUUUUUUGAUGAAUCAGAAAUAGAUUAAACAUAUAACUAUGAGUGUUUUUAGUUUUAGUUAGUUUAGAUGAAUAUGUUAAUUUGAGGUACAAAGUAGACAUUAUAAUUUCAAUUUUAUGAAUUUUUAUCGAUUAUUAACAUUUCA